rnacentral:rRNA from 1 species
CUCUGUGACUCCUACGGGAGCAGCAGUGGGAAUAUUGCACAAUGGGGCGCAAGCCUGAUGCAGCCAUGCCGCGUGUGUGAAGAAGGCCUUCGGGUUGUAAAGCACGUUUCAGUUGUGAGGAAGGUGGUGUCGUUAAUAGCGGCAUCAUUUGACGUUAGCAACAGAAGAAGCACCGGCUAACUCCGUGCCAGCAGCCGCGGUAAUACGGAGGGUGCGAGCGUUAAUCGGAAUUACUGGGCGUAAAGCGCAUGCAGGCGGCCUGUUAAGUCAGAUGUGAAAGCCCCGGGGCUUAACCUCGGAAUUGCAUUUGAAACUGGCAGGCUAGAGUCUUGUAGAGGGGGUAGAAUUUCAGGUGUAGCGGUGAAAUGCGUAGAGAUCUGAAGGAAUACCAGUGGCGAAGGCGGCCCCCCUGGACAAAGACUGACGCUCAGAUGCGAAAGCGUGGGGAGCAAACAGGAUUAGAUACCCUGGAG